GACGAACGCUGGCGGCGUGCCUAAUACAUGCAAGUUGAGCGCUGAAGGUUGGUACUUGUACCAACUGGAUGAGCAGCGAACGGGUGAGUAACGCGUGGGGAAUCUGCCUUUGAGCGGGGGACAACAUUCGGAAACGAAUGCUAAUACCGCAUAAAAACUUUAAACACAAGUUUUAAGUUUGAAAGAUGCAAUUGCAUCACUCAAAGAUGAUCCCGCGUUGUAUUAGCUAGUUGGUGAGGUAAAGGCUCACCAAGGCGAUGAUACAUAGCCGACCUGAGAGGGUGAUCGGCCACAUUGGGACUGAGACACGGCCCAAACUCCUACGGGAGGCAGCAGUAGGGAAUCUUCGGCAAUGGACGAAAGUCUGACCGAGCAACGCCGCGUGAGUGAAGAAGGUUGUCGGAUCGUAAAACUCUGUUGGUAGAGAAGAACGUUGGUGAGAGUGGAAAGCUCAUCAAGUGACGGUAACUACCCAGAAAGGGACGGCUAACUACGUG
rnacentral:rRNA from 1 species